rnacentral:lncRNA from 1 species
CCUUACUGAGGACCUUGGUGCUGACACACUGGGUGACACCUGGGAGGUGAGGGCACACUCUCUGACCUCCCCUCAUUGAGGACCUUGGUUCUGACACACUGGGUGUCACCUGGGAGGUGAGUGCACACUGUCUGACCUCCCCUCACUGAAGACCUUGCUUCUGACACACUUAUCUGACACCUGGGAGGUGAAGGCACACUCUCUGACCUUCCCUCACUGAGGACCUUGGUCUUGACACACUAGGUGUCACCUGGGAGGUGAGGGCACACUCUCUGACCUCCCCUCA